AUGCCCCCUUUUGGACUUAGAAAAUUUUGGUUAAAGUUUUGCGUGCAAGUACAUACAGCUAUUACCAAAAGGCAUAUAGAUUUGAAACUUAUUUUUUUCUUUUUCUAGAUCAAUUACCUACAUCACUAGGUCAAGUCCAAUAACUCUGACAUGUAUUUGGCCAAAUUAGCCCCCUUUUGGACUUAGAAAAUUCUGGUUAAAGUUUUGCGUGCAAGUACAUACAGCUAUUACUAAAAGGCAUAUGGAUUUUAAACUUAUUUUUUCUUUUUCUAGAUCAAUUACCUACCUCACUGGGUCAAGUCCCAUAACUCUGACAUGUAUUUUGGGCAAAUUAUGCCCCCUUUUGGACUUGAAAAUUCUGGUUAAAGUUUUACAUGCAAGUUACUAUCUCCAAAACUAAUGCAGAUAUUGAAUUGAAACUUCACAUGUGUCUUCGGGGUUAUAAAACUAGUUGACAGAAUCAAGUCCCAUAACUCUGACAUGUAUUUUGGGCAAAUUAUGCCCCUUUUUGGACUUAGAAAAUUCUGGUUAAAGUUUUACAUGCAAGGUACUAUCUCCAAAACUAAUGCAGAUAUGGAAUUGAAACUUAAUAUGUUUCUUCGGGGUUAUAAAACUAGUUGAUAGCAUCAAGUCCCAUAACUCUGAUAUGCAUUUUGGUCAAAUUAUGUCCCCUUUCAGACUUAAAACUCUUUUGAUAUUUAACAUUUCGGGUAAUAAUUUCCUGCUUCUGUGACAAUAUUUCGAAUAGUCGAGCUUGGCUGUCUUACGGACAGCUCUUGUUAGCUCACCUGUCACAAAGUGACAAGGUGAGCUUUUGUGAUCGUGCGUCGUCCGUCGUGUGUCCGUCCGUCUGUGCGUGCGUCCGUAAACUUUUGCUUAUGACCACUCUAGAGGUCACAUUUUUCAUGGGAUCUUUAUGAAAGUUGGUCAGAAUGUUCACCUUGAUGAUAUCUAGGCCAAGUUCGAAACUGGGUCACGUGCCGUCAAAAACUAGGUCAGUAGGUCUAAAAAUAGAAAAACCUUGUGACCUCUCUACAGGCCAUAAUUUUAAAUGGAUCUUCAUGAAAAUUGGUCAGAAUGUUCACCUUGAUGAUAUCUAGGUCAAGUUCAAAACUGGGUCACGUGCCUUCAAAAACUAGGUCAGUAGGUCUAAAAAUAGUAAAAGCUUGUGACCUCUCUAGAGGCCAUAUAUUUCACAAGAUCUUCAUGAAAAUUGGUCAGAACGUUCACCUUGAUGAUAUCUAGGCCAAGUUCGAAACUGGGUCACUUGCCUUCAAAAACUAGGUCAGUAGGUCAAAUAAUAGAAAAACCUUGUGACCUCUCUAAAGGCCAUAUUUUUCAUGGGAUCUGUAUGAAAGUUGGUCUGAAUGUUCAUCUUGAUGAUAUCUAGGUCAUCUUCGAAACUGGGUCACGUGUGGUCAAAAACUAGGUCAGUAGGUCUAAAAAUAGAAAAACCUUGUGACCUUUCUAGAGGCCAUAUAUUUCAAAGAUCUUCAUGAAAAUUGGUCAGAACGUUCACCUUGAUGAUAUCUAGGUCAAGUUCGAAACUGGGUCACGUGCCCUCAAAAACUAGGUCAGUAGGUCAAAUAAUAGAAAAACCUUGUGACCUCUCUAAAGGCCAUAUUUUUCAUGGGAUCUGUAUGAAAGUUGGUCUGAAUGUUCAUCUUGAUGAUAUCUAGGUCAAGUUCGAAACUGGGUCACGUGCUUCAAAAACUAGGUCAGUAGCUCUAAAAAUAGAAAAACCUUGUGACCUCUCUAGAGGCCAUAUAUUUCAUGAAAUCUUCAAGAAAAUUGGUCAGAAUGUUCACCUUAAUGAUAUCUAAGUCAAGUUCGAAAGUGGGUCACGUGCCUUCAAAAACUUGGUCAGUAGGUAAAAUAAUAGAAAAACCUUGUGACCUCUCUAGAAGCCAUAUUUUCCAUGGGGUCUGUAUGAAAGUUGGUCUGAAUGUUCAUCUUGAUGAUAUCUAGGUCAAGUUCGAAAGUGGGUCACAUGCGGUCAAAAACUAGGUCAGUAGGUCAAAUAAUAGAAAAACCUUGUGACCUCUCUAAAGGCCAUAUUUUUCAAUGGAUCUUCAUGAAAGUUGGUCUGAAUGUUCAUCUUGAUGAUAUCUAGGUCAAGUUCGAAACAGGGUCGUGUGCGGUCAAAAACUAGGUCAGUAGGUCUAAAAAUAGGAAAACCUUGUGACCUCUCUAGAGGCCAUACUUGUGAAUGGAUCUCCAUAAAAAUUGGUCAGAAUGUUCAUCUUGAUGAUAUCUAGGUCAAGUUCGAAAGUGGGUCACGUGCCUUCCAAAAAUAGGUCAGUAGGUCAAAUAAUGAAAAAACGUGACCUCUCUAGAGGCUAUAUUUUUCAUGGGAUCUGUAUGAAAGUUGGUCUGAAUGUUUAUCUUGAUGAUAUCUAGGUCAAGUUUGAAACUGGGUCAACUGCGAUCAAAAACUAGGUCAGUAGGUCUUGAAAUAGAAAAACCUUGUGACCUCUCUAGAGGCCAUACCCUUGAAUGGAUCUUCAUGAAAAUUGGUCAGAAUGUUCACCUUGAUGAUAUCUAGGUCAAGUUUGAAACUGGGUCACGUGCCUUAAAAAUCUAGGUCAAUAGGUCAAAUAAUAGAAAAACGUUAUGACCUCUCUAGAGACCAAUUUUUUUCAAUGGAUCUUCAUGAAAAUUGGUCAGAAUUUUUAUCUUGAUAAUAUCUAGGUCAAGUUCAAAACUGGGUCACACGAGCUCAAAAACUAGAUCACUAUGUCAAAUAAUAGAAAAAACGACGUCAUACUCAAAACUGGAUCAUGUGGGAAGAGGUGAGCGAUUCAGGACCAUCAUGGUCCUCUUGUUUAUAAUCAUAUUCUUUAUGUAAAAAAAAUAGUCAGGUAACUGAUGAUGCCAUUUGUCUGUAAAUGCUUUCAUUCUUCCAACUCAGGAAUAGUGUACGAGUUUUAAAUAUCAGUAUAAUUAAGGUAGAAAUUUGUUUUUGUUUUUUGCUCAUCACCCUUUAAUUUCCUGUCAAAGGAUAACAUAUGUGAAGCUUAAGUGUAAGGAAUUAAUGUGAGUGAAUUAUUCUAGAUUUAUGUCUAUGGUGAUCAUGCAUUUGUCUAUUAUCUGUAAUAUUUCUGAGAAAAUAUUUGUUUGUGUACUGUAUAGAAAUUUGAAUGAAAACAUACAAAAAUGUCAAUGUUAAUGGCAGUUUUUUUUUAUCCUCCGCCGAUGAAAUCGGGAGGGGGGGUAUUGAAAUGGCGUUGUCCAUCAGUGCGUCCGUCCGCAGCCAUAUCUCAGUAACUAGCUGGUAGAAUUUCAUGAAACUUGAAAUAAACAUGAAACAACAUACUGCAAUGAUGCUCGUCAAGUUUUUUUUUUUUGAUUGGUCAAUUUUCCUUAGAGUUAUUGCCCUUGAUUUAAUGAAAAAUGCCCGUCCGCAGCCAUUUCUCAGUAACUGUCAUGUAGAAUUUCAUAAAACUUGAAAUAAACAUGCACCAACAUACUGCGAUGAUGCCCGUCAAGUUUUUUUUUGAUUGGUCAAUUUCCCUCAGAGUUAUUGCCCUUGAUUUAAUGAAAAAUCCACGUCUGCAGCAAUUUCUCAGUAACAAGCUGGUAGAAUUUCAUGAAACUUGAAAUAAAUAUGAACCAAUAUACUUCGAUGAUGCCUGUCAUUUUUUUUUUAAUUGGUCAAUUUUCUUAGAGUUAUUGCCCUUUAAUUGUUUAAAAAUCUACAGAUUUGUACAUAACAAACCAACCAAUUGGUAGAAUUUCAUUAAACUUCUUUCAUUCUUUUCCAUGAACAUUUAUUAUAAACAUGUGAAGCUGUGUACCCACACCUGGUCACCACCUUGCCUUGGUCACCCCCCCCCCCCCCCCCCCCCCCCCCCCCCCACAAAAAAAAGAAAAAAGAUAAUUUUUCUUUCAAACCUUCCAUGAAUAUUUAUCAACAUGCAAAGUUGUAACAUUCCCCCACCUCACUCCUCCACCCAGUCAUGCCCACCACCCCAAAAAAAAUAAUUUUUGUCAUUUUUAAUUUUCCAUCAAUAUUUAUAAUCAACAUAUGAUGUUUUGUACCCUCACCCAGCCAGCCCCGCUGCCCCUCACCCCUCCCCCACCAAAAAAUAGCAUUCAUUUUUUGUUAAAUUGAUUUUGACUAAUGAAAUUAUUUGCCUCUUAGUAACAUCCUUAACUUUUUGCUGGACAUACUGUUUUGCUGUUCCUCACCACAAACCCUUUCAGCGGGGGAUACCAAUUCAUCGAAUUUGUUCUUCCUGGUAUAGUACCUGUGUUGAAUUAGGGUUUUGACCAUAUACUAUGUAUUGGUGCAUUCGAAACGACUGAUAAUUGUUAUAGGUACAUUUAUAGAAUAGUAUUCCAGAAAAUGGGUCCAUGUAUGAUAAAAGUAUUGAUGGCUGUAUUGGUAAAGUAUGCACAGUUUGGACAUCUCCAAAGUUUGUAGGUAUAUCACCUUUAUUUGAUCUGUGCGGGAAAAGUUAUUUGAAUCACAUAACAUGUGUACAGUUGUAUUAUAUGUACACAUUUCUUGCUUUGUCUACUGUAUUUUGCAUAUCACCAGUUGUACAGUGGAACCUCCCUAAUCCGAACCCCUCUAAUCUGAACUUUUUUCUGGUCUGGGCAUGUUCAGAUUAGAGGUACCACUGUAUUGUAUGUACACAUUUCUUACUUUGUCUACUGUGUUUUGCAUAUCACCAGUUGUACAGUGGAACCUCCCUAAUCCGACCCCCUCUAAUCUGAACUUUUUUUCUGGUCUGGGCAUGUUCAGAUUAGAGGUACCACUAUAUUGUAUGUACACAUUACUUGCUUUGUCUACUGUAUUUUGCAUAUCAUUUUUCAGGUCUGUUUUAACAGCAUUAUUAAUUUUGUGAUACGAAAUAGUAUGAUCCUACUUAAACUGUUCAUAAUACAUGCAUGAAAAGGAAUCUUUUUUAGCUCACCUGUCACAAAGUGACAAGGUGAGCUAUUGUGACCGCUUGAUGUCCGUUAUCCGUCGUCCGUCGUCUGUGGUGCGUCAACAAAUUGUAAAAAAAUCUUCUUCUUGAAAACCACUGAGCAGAAUUACACCAAACUUCACAGGAAUGAUCCUUGGGUGGCCCCCUUUCAAAAUUGUUCAAAGAAUUGAAUUCCAUGGAGAACUCUGGUUGCCAUGGCAACCGAAAGGAAAACCUUUAAAAAUCUUCUUCUCAAAAACCAGAAGCCCUAGAGCUUAGAUAUAUGGUGUGAAGCAUUGCCUAGUGGACCAAAUUUGUUCAAAUCAUGACCCCGGGGUCAAAAUUGACCCCGCCCCAGGGGUCACUUGAUUUUACAUAGGAAAAUCUUUUAAAAUCUUCUUCUCAAAAAGCAUAAGCCCUAGAGCUUAGAUAUUUGACAUGUAGCAUUGCCUAGUGGACCUCUACUAAAGUUGUUCAAAUCAUGACCCUGGGAUCAAAAUUGACCCCGCCCCAGGGGUCAAUUGAUUUUACAUGUGAAAAUCUUCAAAAAAAAAUCUAAAAAUAAACCAGAAGGCCUAGAGCUUAGAUAUUUCACAUGUAGCAUUGCCUAAUGGACCUCUACUAAAGUUGUUCAAAUCAUGACCCCGGGGUCAAAACUGACCCUGCCCUAGGGGUCACUUGAUUUUAAAUAUGAAAAUCUUCAAAAAAAUUCUAAAAAUAAACCAGAAGGCCUAGAGCUUAGAUAUUUCACAUGUAGCAUUGCCUAGUGGACCUCUACAACAUUUGUUCAAAUCUUGACCCCCAGGGUCAAAAUUGACCCCACCCCAGGGGUCACUUGAUUUUACAUAUGAAAAUCUUCAAAAUUUUUCUAAAAAUAAACCAGACGGCCUAGAUCUUAGAUAUUUGACAUGUAGCAUUGCCUAGUAGACUUCUACAAAAUUUGUUCAAAUCAUGACCCCCGGGGUCAAAUUGGCUCCGCCCCAUGGGGUUAUUUGAUUGUACAUAGAAAAAUCUUCAAAAUUUUCUAAAAAAAAAAAAAAACCAGAAGGCCUAGAGCUUAGAUAUUUGACAUGUAGCAUUGCCUAGUGGACCUCUACAAAAUUUGUUCAAAUCUUGACCCCACAGGGUCAAAUUGACCCCGUCCCAGGGUUACUUGAUUGUGCAUAAGGAAAUCUUCAUAAAUUUACUAAAAAUAAACCAGAAGGCCUAGAUCUUAAAGUUUUAGCUAAGAAAUUUGUUCAAGCAAGCAACUCUACUCAGGUGAGCGAUAUAGGGCCUUCAUGGCCCUCUUGUUUUUAUAAAAAGGACCAUUCUGUAAGAUGUGAAAUACCAGAGACAAGAUACUUAAAACAAUUAUGAAAAAGUCGUGUAGAAUCGUUUGAAACUUGUCUAUUACUAGCCUGGGUUCAUAUCAUGUUACUUGGAUUCCUGUCAGGUUGCCUAGAUUCCCGUUAUAUUACCUGGGUUCCUGUCUGGUUGCCUGGGUUCCUUGUCAGGCUGCCUGGUUUCCUGUCAGGUUACUUGGAUUCCUGUCUGGUUACCUGGAUUCCUGUCAGGUUAACCGGGUUCCUGUCAGGUUGCCUAAGUUCCUGUCAGGUUGCCUAACUUUCUAUAAGUCUGUCUGGGUUCCUGUAAGGUUGCUUGAGUUCCUGCCGGGCUGCUUGGGUUCAUGUCAGGUUGCCUAGGUUCCUGUAAGGUAGCCUGAGUUCCUUUCAGGUUGCCUGGUUUCUUGUACGGUUGUCUAGGUUCCUGUCAGGUUGCCUGGGUUCCUGUCAGGUUGCUUAGAUUCCUGUCAGGUUGCCUGGUUUAUUGUAUGAUUGUCUAAGGUCCUGUUAGGUUGUCUUAAGUUCCUGUCAGGUUGCUUAGAUUCCUGUCAGGUUGCCUGGAUUCCUGUUAGGUUGUCUUAAGUUCCUGUCAGGUUGCCUGGGUUCCUGUCAGGUUGCCUUAGUUACUGUCAGGUUGCCUAGUUUCUUGUCAUGUUGUCUGGUUUCCUAUCAGGCUGCCUGGGUUCCUGUAAGGUUGUCUGGUUUCUUGUCAGGUUGCUAAGUUCCUGUAAAGUUGCUUGGGUUCCUGUCCAGUUGCCUAAGUUUCUGUCAAGUUGCCUUGUUUCUUGUCAGGUUGCCUUAGUUCCUGUCAGGUUGCCUGGGUUCCUGUCAGGUUGUCUGUAUUCCUGUAAGGUUGCCUAUGUUCCUUUAAGGUUGUCUGGUUUUCUGUUAGGUUGCCAGAGUUCUUGUCAGGUUAUCUGGUUUCCCUUGAGGUUGCCUGGUUUCCUGUCAGGUAGUCAGGAGGGUUUUGUCUACAUUUGCAAAAUUCAAUAGGAGAGGUUGUUGCCCAGAAUGUUUUGUCUAUACUAUCACUUGUAUAAACACUUCAUAUGUUAUAUACAAAGGAUUAAGUAUCAACAACUGUUUCCCAGGCAACCUUAACCAGCAACCUUUACAAAGCAUAAAUACAUGUUUCAAGUGUAACACUCCAAGAUUCAAACACCCAUUGGUAUUUCUGUUGUUAUGUUUUGAAUUUCUUCCCUAGUGUGAAGGAGUUUCGUAAUCAGAAAAUCUUUGGAACUAGUUAAAAUGUAAAACAGUUGUUCCUUUUAUAUAACAAAUUGAUGAUAAAUGAUGCAUUUAAUUUGAAAAACGUGAUUUUACACAGUAAAGGGUUUGUAAACUUGUAACAUGUAUGUGAUUCAGCAUUAUUUCAAUUAUUGUGAUGCAGUUUUGUAUAUUUUGUAUGUUUAUGUAACAGUUACUUUUUAAUAAAAUCAUAUAUUAUUGAA